rnacentral:rRNA from 1 species
AAUAGAUACCCCGGUAGUCCACGCCGUAAACGAUGGGUGCUAGGUGUUGGGGGGGACCCCCCUCAGUGCCGCAGGUAACCCAAUAAGCACUCCGCCUGGGGAGUACGGUCGCAAGACUGAAACUCAAAGGAAUUGACGGGGGGCCCGCACAAGCGGUGGAGCAUGUGGUUUAAUUCGAAGCAACGCGAAGAACCUUACCAGGGCUUGACAUCCCGCUGACCGGUGUAGAGAUACGCCUUUCCCCUUCGGGGGACAGCGGUGACAGGUGGUGCAUGGUCGUCGUCAGCUCGUGUCGUGAGAUGUUGGGUUCAGUCCCGCAACGAGCGCAACCCUUGUUUCUAGUUGCCAGCACUUCGGGUGGGCACUCUAGAGAGACAGCCGGUGAAAGCCGGAGGAAGGUGGGGAUGACGUCAAAUCAUCAUGCCCCUUAUGUCCUGGGCUACACACGUGCUACAAUGGCUGGUACAAAGGGCAGCGAACCCGCGAGGGGGAGCCAAUCCCAAAAAACCAGUCUCAGUUCGGAUUGCAGGCUGCAACUCG